CCCUGGUUAGCUCAGUUGGUAGAGCGCUCCAUUGGAAAUGGAGAGGUCCCGGGUUUAAUCCCCGGACCAGGCG
rnacentral:tRNA from 1 species